rnacentral:rRNA from 1 species
UGGAGGCAGCAGUGGGGAAUAUUGCACAAUGGAGGGAACUCUGAUGCAGCAACGCCGCGCGAAGGAUGAAGGUUUUCGGAUUGUAAACUUCUUUGAUGCGGGACGAAAGAAAUGACGGUACCGCAAAAACAAGCCACGGCUAACUACGUGCCAGCAGCCGCGGUAAUACGUAGGUGGCGAGCGUUGUCCGGAAUUACUGGGUGUAAAGGGCGUGUAGGCGGGAAUGUAAGUCAGAUGUGAAAUACCAGGGCUCAACUCUGGGGCUGCAUCUGAAACUAUGUUUCUUGAGUGCCGGAGAGGAAAGCGGAAUUCCCAGUGUAGCGGUGAAAUGCGUAGAUAUUGGGAGGAACACCAGUGGCGAAGGCGGCUUUCUGGACGGUAACUGACGCUGAGGCGCGAAAGCGUGGGGAGCAAACAGGAUUAGAUACCCUGGUAGU